CACCCACUUUUCUUUACAUAGAACUCUUCUAAACAUCCAUACAAAGUAGUUCAAGCUUUGGUUCCAAUCUUUAGACCUUAAACUCAUAUAGAAAACCUUGCUGAAAGAUCACAUAAGUUGCUGUAAGUUCAACAGUUUACACCUCUUGUAUUUAAGCUUAGUUUUUCAUAUCUAUAAGCUUGUUGAAACUAAUCUUUAGCAUUUUAUACAUUCAGGGGAAGCUGUAGGAGUAGUUAACCAAGUGGAUUAAGGAAUUUCGUGGCUUUAAGCAUCCUUAGUUAAGAGUCAAACAUUGUUGCAGGUUUGGUGUUGUGAGCUCAGGAUUCUGAAGUGAAGCAAGAUAAAGAUGUCGUCGUAGCUUAUGAAUUGAGUUUGUAUUUUAGAUAGUCAAUUAAGGAAUAGUUUCUGAUAUAUUUCGUUGUAUACAAUAUUUGGGAAUAUUAGUCGAGAUAUCGGUGUAAUUGAAGUCUUAUAUAAAGGAUUUUGUUUUGUGGGCCAAUGACCCACAGGUCCAA